CAUUUAUGCUGUCAAUUCAGUCGAACAUAUAAUUUUUCCACAACCUUUCACUAAUUCAAUCCGUUUCCCAUUCAAAAAUGGAUCCAAGAGAAAAAAGCUGUUCGCUUAAGUGUCUCCGUAUAUUCUUCAUAGUUUGCAAUAAGAUCAUAGUUUUGUUGUCAGUGAUUUUCGUUCUAAUUUUUAUAAUUAAGCCAACAUUGAUGGUGGUCGGUGACGAUGGGAAAGAGAUUACUAAUAGUGAGGCACGCCGUGCUCUCAAACUGCGAGUAAUCCUACUAUCGAUCGCAAUUCCACUGGGCUGUUUCACCAUUUUCGCACUAUUCAGAGACCAUGUCAAAUUCCUGUGGUUUUCAUUCGCCUUUGAUAUCGUCUACAGCAUUGGAAUGUUUAUAUUUGGCAUACACUGGUUGGAACUGGUACCGACAUUAAUCAUCGUUAUUGUGUUCGGUUUUUAUAUACAAAACUUGUCGACGUUCCAAAAAUCUCUCAGAUUUGACAGAAAUUUAGGAUUAAGCAAAAUUUAGAUUUAGACCAUGAGCAGUUUGAUGUUCCAAGCAUUAACAGAGAAGGGUUUUUUUUUGUAAAGAGUAACUAAAACAUGAAUAAGGGCAGAAGCCUUCUUUGACGCAUGUAAGACCUGUGUUAAUGCUUGGAACACUAAAGUGCUUUGAUUUAGUUCAUCACCUUGUGAGUGAAACCAGGCUUCUAACGAAGAAGUGAUAGAAUUAUGCCAAUUUAUCGACAAAAAACGUAAUGUUGAAGCUUCAAUUCAGUCUACUAACUAACCUACUGAUCAAAAAU